rnacentral:rRNA from 1 species
UACAGAGGGGGCAAGCGUUGUUCGGAAUUACUGGGCGUAAAGGGCUCGUAGGCGGCCAACUAAGUCAGACGUGAAAUCCCUCGGCUUAACCGGGGAACUGCGUCUGAUACUGGAUGGCUUGAAUCCGGGGAGAGGGAUGCGGAAUUCCAGGUGUAGCGGUGAAAUGCGUAGAUAUCUGGAGGAACACCGGUGGCGAAGGCGGCCCUCUGGCUCGACCCUGACGCUGAGAGGCGAAAGCGUGGGGAGCGAACGGG